CCUGGUACUGUAGACUAUUGUAAUAUAGCCUAGAUUUAAAUAACUCCAUUCACAAUCACGUCUACUGGAAUAAACACUUUCGGCUCUGCACAAAAAUGUCUUUACAACACAAGAACAGGAUGGGUGUGAAAGGCUACCAAUGCAAAGUCAAUUGUUUCUCAUUUCUAUCCGAAACAUACAACAAUUGGAGCCCCACCUUCUGCUAAGCAAUGACCUGUGUGAUAAAUGAGUCUGAAAUAGGAAAUCAGUGGCGAGUUCAUUUAAACACAAGUUCAAAACUGAAGACAAACUUAAAAGGAAUAGUUCUCCCAAAAAACGAAAAGUCUGUCAUCAUUUUUACCCUCAAGUCAAUUCAAACCCUCUGUAUGACCUAUUGUUCUUCUGUGGAACACAAAAGAAAAUAUUUUGAAGAAUAAAAAAAUGG